GGGGUUGUAGAUAUAGAAGAC
rnacentral:miRNA from 1 species